rnacentral:rRNA from 1 species
AUACGAAGGGGGCUAGCGUUGUUCGGAAUCACUGGGCGUAAAGCGCACGUAGGCGGACAUUUAAGUCAGGGGUGAAAGCCUGGAGCUCAACUCCAGAACUGCCCUUGAUACUGGGUGUCUCGAGUCCGGAAGAGGUAAGUGGAACUGCGAGUGUAGAGGUGAAAUUCGUAGAUAUUCGCAAGAACACCAGUGGCGAAGGCGGCUUACUGGUCCGGUACUGACGCUGAGGUGCGAAAGCGUGGGGAGC